rnacentral:rRNA from 1 species
AAUUGACGGGGGCCCGCACAAGCGGUGGAGCAUGUGGUUUAAUUCGAUGAUACGCGAGGAACCUUACCUGGGCUAGAACGCAUUCGGAAUCAGGCCGAAAGGCCUGCGCCAGCGAUGGCCGCUUGCGAGGUGCUGCAUGGUUGUCGUCAGCUCGUGCCGUGAGGUGUCGGGUUAAGUCCCAUAACGAGCGCAACCCCUACUGCUAGUUGCCAGCGGGUCAUGCCGGGGACUCUAGCGGAACUGCCAGCGUAAGCUGCGAGGAAGGUGGGGAUGACGUCAAAUCAGCACGGCCCUUACGUCCAGGGCUACACACGUGUUACAAUGGCCGGUACAGAGGGCAGCCACCCCGCGAGGGGGCGCGAAUCCCGAAAGCCGGUCCCAGUUCGGAUCGGAGUCUGCAACCCGACUCCGUGAAGCUGGAUUCGCUAGUAAUCGCGCAUCAGCCACGGCGCGGUGAAUACGUUCCCGGGCCUU